rnacentral:tRNA from 1 species
ACUAUUUUGGCAGAUAAAUGUGAUGAUUUUAGAAUUCAUAAAUAUAUGUUUUAUAAAAUAUAUAAGUAGUA